GGGACUUGGAGGGGGCAGGUGCAGGUUUUCCUCCCCUCUGCUGAUGGAGCUUAGGAGGGAGGAGCCUGUGUAAGUCUAGGAGGAGGGGUGGGUUUUUGCUCUCCAUCCCUCCUAUGCCUCCCCUUCACUGUUGCUGCUGCGGGUGCUGGAAGGGAGGAUCAGUCAGCGAACCCAGGGAUGUGGAUGAGUCACCUGCUUCGUGCCAGCCAGUGGAAGCAGAGAUGGCGUUACAGGAGGGAGUACUCCGGGAGGCUCAGUGGCAAUUUCUCUGCCUGUCCACUUGGCUCAGUCAGGAACCUGAGCUUGAACAGAUCCUGCCUCCAGCCCUUGUUGGUUGUGUGGCCCUGGGCCAGUCCUUGAGUCUCUGUUUCCUGAUCUGUAAAAUAACGGCACCUUCCUCCCAGAGUCGUCGGGAGGCUCAAAUGGCAAGGGUUCCCACUACGUGCUGGACAUCGCCCCAGAUGCCCCCCACCCCCCACCAACUAAGGGUAUGCCCUGCUGGAGUGGGGCAGGAAGUAAAGGUGGGGACAAGUCCUGUCAAGGCUUGGUAUUGAGGCAUUUCCUGCCCUUUCCGUCCUGCCCUGCAGCUGAUGCCACUGAGUGUGAGGCAGAGCUUUGUUAGGGUGCAUGGUAGGACAGGUUUCUGUAGUCACAGAAGUCGCCUUUUUGAGGGCCUCGGGCAGAGCCCUCAAACAAUGAGCAGGCUAAACCUGGUGACCUCUCUAGAGUCCCCUUGAGCCUCCAGAGUCUAUGGUGGCAAAGUGGAGCCUGUGUGGGACGGCGAUGACCCUUACCCAAAUUAAUUCAGAGGCUUCUCCAGGUAGAAAGUAGAAAGGAUUUUAUUUCAAUCUCGAGAAAGGGCGACUCACACCCAAAGGCAGUUCGAUGCAAGACUGCAGGUGGUAUCAGCCAAACAAACAUUUUUAUAGGUUCUAAUCGCAACUCCUCCCUAGCCCCUACCUCUCAUCCCAUUGGCUGGGCUUCGGAGGGCACAAUCUAAACACGAAAAAAGGUUGCACCUCCCUUCCACUCCUUCAAGUAUCCUCUUAGUACAUCCUGUUUUGUUCAUUUCAGAUCCUGUAAUAGUUUGUGGUGGUGAUUAUUUUUGCAACAAUUUGAACAUAUCCAUCCGGGUUAUUUACAAGCUUCCUGACCUGGGCACACAUAUAUACAUAUAUUAUUAUUAGGUGUCUUUACCUUAUUUUACUUAUUUAAGUUUAAAUUUUAUGAGGGGUCUUCACCAAUCUCACUCAAGCUGAAAGCAGGCUUGGCCAGAGUGGCAGUAAAGUCCAGCAACCCUAAACCUAACCCUAACCCUAACCCUAAAUGCCCCUGACUCUAGUGCUACUGACAUUGGAGAGAGAGGAGCCAGCGGGCUGGAGCUGGACGGGGGCUGCGGACUGGCGAUGUUUUCUCUCUUUCUCCUCUUUCCUUCCCUCCUGCCUUGGUCCCCACAGCCUAGGGCUCCCAUCUGCCAGCCUAGGGUGGAGAGACAUGGGCAGGAGCUUUGGCCACCAGGGUUCUAUUUGUCUUCCUGGAAGACUGGAAGGCUGG
rnacentral:lncRNA from 1 species